ACCUGCGGAAGAUCAUUAACGAGUAACUGAACAGGUUGUAGCUGGCCUCUAGGGGCAUGUGCACGCCUGGCUCAUCCACUCUUCAACCUCUGUGCACCUGUUGUAGGUCGGUGGAAGGGCAAAGUAGUAAGUGAAGUCUCAGGACUUUGCUUACUCUCUGCUUGGAAACCUUCCUAUGUUUCAUUACAAACGCUUCAGUUUAAGAAUGUAAUCUCUGCGUAUAACGCAUCUAUAUACAACUUUCAGCAACGGAUCUCUUGGCUCUCGCAUCGAUGAAGAACGCAGCGAAAUGCGAUAAGUAAUGUGAAUUGCAGAAUUCAGUGAAUCAUCGAAUCUUUGAACGCACCUUGCGCUCCCUGGUAUUCCGGGGAGCAUGCCUGUUUGAGUGUCAUGGUAUCCUCAACCUUCAUAACUUUUUGUUAUCGAAGGCUUGGACUUGGAGGUCGUGCUGGCUCUUGUUAGUCGGCUCCUCUUAAAUGUAUUAGCGUGAGUGUAACAGAUCGCUUCGGUGUGAUAAUUAUCUGCGCCGUGGUCGUGAAGUAACAUAAGCUGACGCUUCUAACCGUCCUUCAGUUGGACAACAUUUAUAUGACAUCUGACCUCAAAUCAGGUAGGACUACCCGCUGAACUUAAGCAUAUCAAUAAGCGGAGGAAAAGAAACUAACAAGGAUUCCCCUAGUAACUGCGAGUGAAGCGGGAAAAGCUCAAAUUUGAAAUCUGGUAGUCUUUGGCUGCCCGAGUUGUAAUCUGGAGAAGCGCUUUCCGCGCUGGACCGUGUACAAGUCUCCUGGAACGGAGCGUCAUAGAGGGUGAGAAUCCCGUCUUUGACACGGACUACCAGUGCUUUGUGAUGUGCUCUCAAAGAGUCGAGUUGUUUGGGAUGCAGCUCAAAUGGGUGGUAAACUCCAUCUAAAGCUAAUAUUGCGAGAGACCGAUAGCGACAGAC
rnacentral:rRNA from 1 species